AGUGGGCUGAAUGUGUGUGUUAGUUGCUCAGUCAUGUCCAACUGUCUGUGACCCCAUGGACUGUAGCCCACCAGGCUCCUCUGUCCAUGGAAUUCUCCAGCAUAUUCCUUGACUGGGGAUCCAACUCAUGACCUCUGAAUUAGGAACAUGAAGUCUUAACCAUUGAACCUCCAGGGAAGUCCCAAGAUGAGAGGUUUUAAGCAGAAAAUUCACUAUCAGAUUUUCUUCUUAAAACCCAGUUCUGACAAAGAUGUGAGGGAGAAGACACCCUACUGGUGGACAUGGAGAUCGGAACAGUGUUGUGGAGGGAUGGUGUGACACAUCUACUUGUUCGAUGCACUCGCCCUUUGAUCUAGCAAGUCAGCCCUGCGGAGUGCCCCUCCACAGGUGCAGAGAUGCCUGGCACUAUUGGUAGCCACCAGACAUGAAACAACUGAGCGCCCGUUGACUGGGCAAUGGAAGAGAGAAUGAGAUUCAUCUCACAAAACAGCAGUCAUCAAAAAUAAACAGGUGGGGACUUCCCUGGGGGUCCAGUGGCUAAGACUCCACGCUCCCAAUGCAAGGGGCCUGGGUUCCAUCCCUGGUCAGGGAACUAGAUCGCACAUGCUGUAACUAUGAGAUUCUGCUGCAUGUUGCAACUAAAAACAAAAACAAAAAACAGAUGCCACAAUGAAGACAACAAAGACUGAAGAUCCUGGGUGCUGCAACUAAGACCUGGUGCAGCCAAACAAACGAGUUAGAUCUGCAUGUGUGGAUGUGUGAACUUUUCCAAGAUGAAUUAUAAGUGAAAAAAGGUACUCGCAGGCUCAUAUGCAUGAUAGGAUGCCAUUUGCAUGAGUACAAAGGAUGUACAUUUAUAUAUGCACAUAGAAAUGGAA
ensembl:lncRNA